CCUACGGGGGGCAGCAGUGGGGAAUAUUGCACAAUGGGCGCAAGCCUGAUGCAGCCAUGCCGCGUGUGUGAAGAAGGCCUUCGGGUUGUAAAGCACUUUCAGCGGGGAGGAAGGCGGUGAGGAUAAUAACCUCAUCGAUUGACGUUACCCGCAGAAGAAGCACCGGCUAACUCCGUGCCAGCAGCCGCGGUAAUACGGAGGGUGCAAGCGUUAAUCGGAAUUACUGGGCGUAAAGCGCACGCAGGCGGUCUGUCAAGUCGGAUGUGAAAUCCCCGGGCUCAACCUGGGAACUGCAUUCGAAACUGGCAGGCUAGAGUCUUGUAGAGGGGGGUAGAAUUCCAGGUGUAGCGGUGAAAUGCGUAGAGAUCUGGAGGAAUACCGGUGGCGAAGGCGGCCCCCUGGACAAAGACUGACGCUCAGGUGCGAAAGCGUGGGGAGCAAACAGGAUUAGAUACCCUAGUAGUC
rnacentral:rRNA from 1 species